GGACCAAGGAGUUUAGCGUGUGCGCGAGUCAUUGGGUGGAAAACCUAAAGGCGGAAUGAAAGUAAAGGAAACUCGCUUUCUGAGGGAGGAUGGGUUACCUGCCUUUACAGGCGGUGCCCCGCACUCCCGGGGCGUCUCUUUCUCAUUACGAGUGGAGGCGCACCUAUAGCGUACACGCUGAUACCCGAAAGAUGGUGAACUAUGCCUGGCCAGGACGAAGCCAGGGGAAACCCUGGUGGAGGUCCGCAGCGAUUCUGACGUGCAAAUCGAUCGUCGGAGCUUGGUAUAGGGGCGAAAGACCAAUCGAACCAUCUAGUAGCUGGUUCCCUCUGAAGUUUCCCUCAGGAUAGCUUGCGCUCGGUUGAGACGAGUCUCAUCCGGUAGAGCGAAUGAUUAGAGGCCUUGGGGUCGAAACGACCUCAACCUAUUCUCAAACUCCAAAUAGAUGAGAUCCCCGGCUUGCUUGAAAGUGAAGCCGGGACUCGGAUCAGAGUGCCAAGUGGGCCAAUUUUGGUAAGCAGAACUGGCGCUGUGGGAUGAACCAAACGCAGAGUUAAGGCGCCUGAAUCGACGCUCAUGUGAAACCAUGAAAGGCGUUGGUUGCUUAAGACAGCAGGACGGUGGCCAUGGAAGUCGGAA
rnacentral:rRNA from 2 species